rnacentral:rRNA from 1 species
GACGAAGGUGGCGAGCGUUGUUCGGAAUCAUUGGGCUUAAAGCGCACGUAGGCGGCCGGUCAAGUGUCUUGUGAAAUCCCUCGGCUCAACCGAGGAAUCGCUGGGCAUACUGAUUGGCUUGAGGCAGGUAUGGGCGAGUGGAACUCUUGGUGGAGCGGUGGAAUGCGUAGAUAUCAAGAGGAACGCCGGUGGUGAAGACGAUUCGCUGGGCCUGUCCUGACGCUGAGGUGCGAAAGCCAGGGGAGCAAACGGG